AGUGUCGUGGGGGACAGCCUGGGGAUCCCUGGACGGCUGCGAGAAGUGAGCGGUUGGCUCGGGCUGCUUUCCUCCCUCCACCGCCUGCUUGUUUCGCCAUGCGCCGGCCGGACGGUGGGGCUGCAGCGGCGAAAGCGACUGAAGUCCGGGAGCAGUCGCAUGAGCUUCCCGGUCACCAGGAGGCCCCAGGAACAGACGCCUCACCCUGACAUUGUAGCAGGAACUUCUGGAUUGCUUUCCAAAGUGGCUGCACUGUUUUCUAUCCCCACUGGGCAGGAAAACAUCUAAGAAUGGAGGCUCCCCCUUCCCUUGCAGGGUGACCGGCAAUUAAAAAGAAGUACUAGAGAGGCAAAUAUUGGCAGUAUACAUCUAAGCACUGGUCAGAAAAGAAGGAACUCAGCCCAAGAACUUGCCCAAUCUGAUACUGGAGGUGCCACCCAAGAACCACUCCCUCCAAGAUGUUUUCCUGGAUUUCCUCAGCCUAAAGUAAUCCCUCUUUUUCCUGGCUAUACCAUCUGGAAAAGAUGACUUCUAAGGACACUGUAGCAAAGAAAAAGAGAACUGGAAGCCCAUGUGCCUUAAUCGCCUCAUCUUAGAGGGCUCGGCAGUCUGGAAAUAGAAACAAUGGUGGUGGAUCGAUUCAAUUGAUCCAGAUUUGGAAGUUGCAUGGCAGAUGAAUGUGUUUCUCACUAACUUGGGGGCCCAACUGGUAUCUCUGUGCCUGCGUGGAGUUGGACUCCGGCCAAGAGGGGAGAGACGUCCCACCUGAUUUAAGUGGCCUACUCUGUCUGGGAAUCCCGGCUCCCUGCAGAGGCCAUAGACAAACCUGAGACUGUUAUUCAGGAGGCAGUGGAGGUGACACAAGGAGAAAAGCAGGCACCGUGGCAACCAGGCAACCUCAUGUAUGAGCCAAGGAGAAGAAGCAGCAGACACCAGUGCAAGAUUGGUCUUCCACUUCCAGUCUGGACAAGAUAGCAUAGACUCAUUUCUCCCUGCUUCUCCCAGGCCCUGCCUUCCACAGGAAGGUUCUGCCAGACGUGGUGGGAGGAUCCCUUGAGCCCAGGAGUUCGAGGCUGCAGUGAGCUGUGACUGUGCUGGGAAUUGGUGAGAAUUUCAAGGUGAACUACAGGAGCAUGUGAGGAAUAACUCUGCCCAGAGAAUCCUGUUCAAAUCCCAGGGUCUGCGGCUUUUAUGUGUAGAGGAAUGGCUCUGUCAUGGCAACCUGACAACAGAGACCACACAGACAAAGACUUGACCUGCAGUUUAUCUGAAUCUUGGCAGAACUCCUUGUGAUCUUUUCGGUAUAGAAGAGGAUAAGAGGUCCCUUUUGUUUUGAUGUCAUCCUUUUUGGUGUGUGAAACAAGGACCACAGGGAGCUGGCACCUUUGGCUACACUUCUUUUCACUCUCCAUGUAAGUAAUAAACUGUCUGAAUCUUAAAA